AGAGUUUGAUCCUGGCUCAGGAUGAACGCUAGCUACAGGCUUAACACAUGCAAGUCGAGGGGCAGCAGGACGGUAGCUUGCUACUGUCGCUGGCGACCGGCGCACGGGUGAGUAACGCGUAUCCAACCUUCCCCUGAGUAGGGAAUAGCCCGGCGAAAGUCGGAUUAAUGCCCUAUGUUGUCCGACGAUAGCAUUUGAAUUGGAUGAAAGAUUUAUCGCUAAGGGAUGGGGAUGCGUCUGAUUAGCUUGUCGGCGGGGUAACGGCCCACCGAGGCGACGAUCAGUAGGGGUUCUGAGAGGAAGGUCCCCCACAUUGGUACUGAGACACGGACCAAACUCCUACGGGAGGCAGCAGUGAGGAAUAUUGGUCAAUGGGCGUAGGCCUGAACCAGCCAAGUAGCGUGCAGGAUGACUGCCCUAUGGGUUGUAAACUGCUUUUAUGCGGGAAUAAAGUCAGGUACGCGUACCUGUUUGCAUGUACCGCAUGAAUAAGCAUCGGCUAACUCCGUGCCAGCAGCCGCGGUAAUACGGAGGAUGCGAGCGUUAUCCGGAUUUAUUGGGUUUAAAGGGUGCGUAGGCGGGAUUUUAAGUCAGCGGUGAAACGCAAGGGCUCAACCCUUGACCUGCCGUUGAAACUGGAGUUCUUGAAUGCGGAUGCUGUGGGAGGAAUGUGUGGUGUAGCGGUGAAAUGCAUAGAUAUCACACAGAACACCGAUUGCGAAGGCAUCUCACAAAUCCGUGAUUGACGCUGAGGCACGAAAGUGUGGGGAUCAAACAGGAUUAGAUACCCUGGUAGUCCACACUGUAAACAAUGAUAACUCCCUGUCGGCGAUACACAGUCGGGGGGCCAAGCGAAAGCGAUAAGUUAUCCACCUGGGGAGUACGACCGCAAGGGUUGAAACUCAAAGGAAUUGACGGGGGCCCGCACAAGCGGAGGAACAUGUGGUUUAAUUCGAUGAUACGCGAGGAACCUUACCCGGGCUCGAACGGCAAGUGAACGACACAGAGAUGUGAAGGUCCUUCGGGACACUUGUCGAGGUGCUGCAUGGUUGUCGUCAGCUCGUGCCGUGAGGUGUCGGCUUAAGUGCCAUAACGAGCGCAACCCUUGCCAUUAGUUACCAGCAUGUAAUGAUGGGGACUCUAGUGGGACUGCCACCGUAAGGUGUGAGGAGGGGGGGGAUGACGUCAAAUCAGCACGGCCCUUACGUCCGGGGCGACACACGUGUUACAAUGGUGGGUACAGAGGGCAGCUACCUGGUGACAGGAUGCAAAUCUCGAAAACCCAUCUCAGUUCGGAUAGGAGUCUGCAACUCGACUCCGUGAAGUUGGAUUCGCUAGUAAUCGCGCAUCAGCCAUGGCGCGGGGAA
rnacentral:rRNA from 1 species